rnacentral:rRNA from 1 species
CCUACGGGUGGCAGCAGUGGGGAAUAUUGGACAAUGGGCGAAAGCCUGAUCCAGCCAUGCCGCGUGUGUGAAGAAGGCCUUCGGGUUGUAAAGCACUUUCAGUGGGGAAGAAAGCCUUGGGGCUAAUACCCUCUAGGAAGGACAUCACCCACAGAAGAAGCACCGGCUAACUCCGUGCCAGCAGCCGCGGUAAUACGGAGGGUGCGAGCGUUAAUCGGAAUUACUGGGCGUAAAGCGCGCGUAGGCGGUCUGAUAAGCCGGUUGUGAAAGCCCCGGGCUCAACCUGGGAACGGCAUCCGGAACUGUCAGGCUAGAGUGCAGGAGAGGAAGGUAGAAUUCCCGGUGUAGCGGUGAAAUGCGUAGAGAUCGGGAGGAAUACCAGUGGCGAAGGCGGCCUUCUGGACUGACACUGACGCUGAGGUGCGAAAGCGUGGGUAGCAAACAGGAUUAGAUACCCUUGUAGUC